CACGUAGGCACCAAGCGUUGUCCGGAUUUAUUGGGCGUAAAGAGCUCGUAGGCGGUUCGGUAAGUCGGGUGUGAAAACUUUGGGCUUAACCCAAAGCGUGCACUCGAUACUGCCAUGACUAGAGUUCGGUAGGGGAGUGGGGAAUUCCUAGUGUAGCGGUGAAAUGCGUAGAGAUGUGGAGGAACACCAAUGGCGAAGGCAGCCUUCUGGGCCAACACUGACGCUCAUGCACGAAAGCGUGGGGAGCAAACAGG
rnacentral:rRNA from 1 species